AUGAGCCAGAAGCGCACGGCGCCGACACCCUCCAUCGCCGCCCGCCCAGCGCCCUGCGGCCGGAUGGUCCUCUGGGCCGGCCAGAUCGGUGUCUCUUCUGCAUUCCCCUCAGCCGGGCCAGAGUCGCUAAAAGGCCUCUUUGGGACUUCUUUGCUGCUCGGUCCAGUUCUUUCUCCGCCCUUUGUCCGGGUAACUGGCCCCGGUCUCCGCAGGCGGGCUUCGGGAAGCCAAAUCAGGAGACGCUGGGCGCUCGGCGACUCCCGGGUGCUACUUGUUGCAUUUCUGCAGAAAACUGUUCCUUCGGAUGCGCGUCGGGGGCGGGAGGAGCGAGCAAGAGUUGGUGCUUUUUGUUUGCUCUGGACUCCGGAGAGCUGGAUUCCCUGGCGCGGAUUCUCCCCGCCAAGCGGAUUCCCCCACUGCAGGCGGGAUCCCUUCCAAGAGCUGCUGGGGUGCGGCUUGGCUGCUGAGCACCGGCCGCUAGGCCUGCGUCUCCGGCGCCUGCUCGUUCGGCGGUCCGGGGGGAUUCGGAGCGCGGUCGGAGUGGGCAGCUUGGGGGCCGCGCAGGCUGCGUCCGGAAGGGACCCACGUCGGCAAGGAGCGAGCAAACCCGGCGGAAAUUCGUUCUUCCCACACUCUGCCCCCCGGGGGAUGCAGGAGGAGAAAGAGGAGACGGUGGAGGCAGGACAGACCCUGGCUGGGGGAGGAGGAAACCCUAAGUGGCUCCGCGUCUGGUCAGCCCCAGCCCGGACGCCAAGUGAGAAAAGCCAGUUCGCCGGCGGCUUCGGAGCAGAAGGAGUGCGCCUCGUCUUAUCCAUUUAACCUACUCUUCCCGGUGCCACCCUGCGGGAGGUUGAGGUGGCACCGAUUCCCCCAGCAUUCUGCCCCUAGUCUGGGGGAACCUAAGGUUGCCUGCGGAAGGCCUUCGAUGGACUACUGUCAGAAGACGCCAGCUCAGUCCUUUCAAAGUGUUUGAGUUUCUAGUGUCCUUUUGCUAGAGUCAAAGGAGAGGCACCGCCCCUUUCAGGUUUCUAGCCUGAAUAUCCGCUGGAUCCCACUGUGGCAAAGCCCAUGAAGAAAGUUCAAGUGAGACGCCACAGAGAUUGUGUCAGGGCCAGAUUUGGCGGUUCGGUCCGAUUAAUUUUCCUGCAGUCUUAAAGCCCUUGAAGUAGGCCCUGAUCGUGUGCCUGUAUACAAUAACCUGCACAGAUUCCUGGGAAAUUGUUUCCUGAAGGGCCCUCCUGCUUUGUGCCUGAGCGUGCAGCGAUCUUGAAAGUUUUCAGGCUCCAAUCUGCUCAGGCCUGGGUUCAUGGGGGAAAAUAAUAACAUUUAUUAACAAUACAGAAUAGGUGACGGUUCUGUUAGGAGCAGCUCAUGAUGGAUUAAAAACAAGCAAGAGAUAGUCACCACCGUCGCUUGUUAUUUGUUUAUGCAAACCAACUUUUUGAAAACAGCCCUUCCCUCAAGGUGUUCAGAAACUGCCGAUUAGUAGGUUUACUCUCUGCUGGCAAUGUGGGAAAUCAGAGUACCUAGUCUCACUUCAGGGGGCUGGCCAUCCAAUGGGAAGGGAGGGGUCCUCACAGGUCAAAUAAGAAAAUGAGCCAGCGAGGGGAGAAAUCUGCAAAGAUUCGAAGGAUUUUAGUCACUCCAGCAUUUCGUUGUCUUGCUGAGCCUUUUACCAGGGGGAGGGAUGGAGGCAUGAACCUGGCAGGGUGGUCAGUGAAGAAUUCAUAGUUAGGCAGUGACCCCGACUUUGCAGAAAGAUGGGUGUUGGAGAAAAAAUGGUAAGACACUAAUGAAGUAUAUCCAGUUUACUGUGGUUCAUUUCAAAUAAAAGGCAAACUUGAGACACAGAUGUCUGCUUUACUAACAUGAAAUAUGAAGUUUAUUUUUCAGUUAUUGUGACCACCCCAAACUCCCUCUAACUACUACUGACUUCGGUGUGGCUGCCGGAAGGGGGAGGACCUGUGCUUGGACAAUGUUGUCUAUACCGUUUUAGCUCGGCUGACCUUGGCUAAAGACACUGUCCUUGACAGGAUCAAGGAUCAUAUGGAGUGUUCAGAGGAAACAGUGCCCGAAUGCUGCGGACUUUUAGGUUGAAUCACCCCCGAAGAUGUCUGGGAUGAAGCUGCUUCAAAGUUCCCAUCUUUUACAGCAUCUAAGUAGAGAAUGUUUUAGAAGCUGAGAGAUGCCUAGUGUGGAGGAGGGAAUGUUUUGCAUAAACUUCUUUCUUCUCUGGACCUUCUGCAGAAAAUCACAGAUCCAGGAUAAGCAAAGGAAUUAUCAUGACAUUUUACUUGAAUUUGAACCCCAAUCACCACAGCCACCACACUCAGCUCCAUAGCAAAGAACUGUAACAACUCCAAAACCACAUUUGCUUGGAAAACUGUGGAAAAGCAGCUGUGAGAACUUCCUGUCUGGAAGGGAAGGAGAAGAUACAGAGCUAGACCACAGGGUGCUGGGGAGGCUGCUGAAUUGCUCUGAAUUUUUAAAAUAUCGUCCACUUGUAAAGCCGACCUCAGGCUGCAUGGCUUCCCAUGAUCAAACAGCCUUGUUGGUACUAAGAAAUGAGAACUGGCAGGUGGAGCUGUGACAUCUCCAGCAAGGAGCCCCAGGAUGCUCUGGGAAGCCUGAGCUGGGCUUCAGGGCUGAGGGUAUCACCUACUUGGAGGUGGGCUGCUGCUGAUGUUGGAGGGGAAGCCUGAAAAGAUGUGCAGGGAGUUCAGGAAGCUUCAGCUCUACCUGCAUCUCCGGUGAGAUGUACUGGCUGGUUCUUCAGCAGCACCUCACAGCACUGGCUCACAGGGAGUCUUGAAGUGGUUGCUCCUUUCAUCUCCUUGAAAGAUUUUACGAGACAGUAGAUAUCACAUUAUACAUUGUAGCAAGAAAAGAAUCUCAA